rnacentral:rRNA from 1 species
CAUUACUGAGUUUACGCUCUAUAACCCUUUGUGAACAUACCUAUAACUGUUGCUUCGGCGGGUAGGGUCUCCGCGACACUCCCGGCCUCCCGCCCCCGGGCGGGUCGGCGCCCGCCGGAGGAUAACCAAACUCUGAUGUAACGACGUUUCUUCUGAGUGGUACAAGCAAAUAAUCAAAACUUUUAACAACGGAUCUCUUGGUUCUGGCAUCGAUGAAGAACGCAGCGAAAUGCGAUAAGUAAUGUGAAUUGCAGAAUUCAGUGAAUCAUCGAAUCUUUGAACGCACAUUGCGCCCGCCAGCAUUCUGGCGGGCAUGCCUGUUCGAGCGUCAUUUCAACCCUCAAGCUCUGCUUGGUGUUGGGGCCCUACAGCUGAUGUAGGCCCUCAAAGGUAGUGGCGGACCCUCCCGGAGCCUCCUUUGCGUAGUAACUUUACGUCUCGCACUGGGAUCCGGAGGGACUCUUGCCGUAAAACCCCCAAUUCUCCAAAGGUUGACCUCGGAUCAGGUAGGAAUACCCGCUGAACUUAAGCAUAUAUU